ACCUAACCCUUCGGGGAGCGGUGAGUGGAACGAGCGGCGGACGGGUGAGUAACACGUGGGCAACCUGCCUGUAAGAUCGGGAUAACUUGCGGAAACGUGAGCUAAUACCGGAUAACACUUCUUAUCGCAUGAUAAGAAGUUGAAAGACGGCGUAAGCUGUCACUUACAGAUGGGCCCGCGGCGCAUUAGCUAGUUGGUGGGGUAAAAGCCUACCAAGGCGACGAUGCGUAGCCGACCUGAGAGGGUGAUCGGCCACACUGGGA
rnacentral:rRNA from 1 species